AGGCAAUGGUAGCGCGUUGGACUUCUAAUCCAAAGGUUGCGGGUCCGAGUCCCGC
rnacentral:tRNA from 1 species